GGCCUGAUACCACGUCUCUGGUAACUGCGAGCACUGACUGAAGAUUUUGAUUGGGCCCAAAUAGAGAUGUAUUUCGUUUCACAUGUUGAUAGGAACCUGUGACUGCAGUUCAAUCGGUUAGCAGAGCCGGAAAUGGUGACUACAUGC